rnacentral:rRNA from 1 species
GUCCACGCCCUAACGAUGUCAACUGGUUGUUGGGAGGGUUUCUUCUCAGUAACGAAGCUAACGCGUGAAGUUGACCGCCUGGGGAGUACGGCCGCAAGGUUGAACUCAAAGGAAUUGACGGGGACCCGGCACAAGCGGUGGAUGAUGUGGUUUUAAUUUCGAUGCAACGCGAAAAACCUUAACCUACCCUUGACAUGUCUGAAAUCCCGGAGAGAUUCGGGAGUGCUCGAAAGAGAAUCAGAACACAGGUGCUGCAUGGCCGUCGU